UGGGGAAUAUUGGACAAUGGGCGCAAGCCUGAUCCAGCCAUGCCGCGUGAACGAUGAAGGCCUUAGGGUUGUAAAGUUCUUUUGUCAGGGAAGAUAAUGACGGUACCUGAAGAAUAAGCACCGGCUAACUUCGUGCCAGCAGCCGCGGUAAUACGAAGGGUGCUAGCGUUGUUCGGAAUCACUGGGCGUAAAGCGCGCGUAGGCGGCUUAACAAGUCAGAGGUGAAAGCCUGGAGCUCAACUCCAGAACUGCCUUUGAAACUGUUAAGCUUGAGUGUCGGAGGGGAUAGCGGAAUUUCUAAUGUAGAGGUGAAAUUCGUAGAUAUUAGAAGGAACACCGGUGGCGAAGGCGGCUAUCUGGACGACAACUGACGCUGAGGCGCGAAAGCGUGGGGAUCAAACAGGAUUAGAUACCCCCGUAGUCCCUGAGCGGGCUGGCAAGGCGCAU
rnacentral:rRNA from 1 species